ACGACUGCUAAGACUGGAUAGGAAGAUAAAAGGCAUCUUGUAUCUUUUAAAAGACCUAGUUAAUAGGUAUGCUUUAGGAGGGGCUUGCGCCAUAUUAGUUAGUUGGUAGGGUAAUGGCCUACCAAGACGAUGAUGUGUAGCUGGACUGAGAGGUUGAACAGCCACAUUGGGACUGAGACACGGCCCAAACUCCUACGGGAGGCAGCAGUAGGGAAUUUUCGGCAAUGGAGGAAACUCUGACCGAGCAACGCCGCGUGAAUGACGAAGUACUUCGGUAUGUAAAGUUCUUUUAUCGAGGAAGAAAAGCAAAUGGCGAACCAUUUGUUUGCCGGUACUUGAUGAAUAAGCCCCGGCUAAUUAUGUGCCAGCAGCCGCGGUAAGACAUAAGGGGCAAGUGUUAUCCGGAAUUAUUGGGCGUAAAGAGUGCGUAGGCGGUCUAGUAAGUCAGUGGUGUAAUGGCAACGCUUAACGUUGUCCGGCUAUUGAAACUGCUAAACUUGAGUUAGAUAGAGGCGAGUGGAAUUCCAUGUGUAGCGGUAAAAUGCGUAAAUAUAUGGAGGAACACCAGAGGCGUAGGCGGCUCGCUGGGUCUUAACUGACGCUGAGGCACGAAAGCGUGGGGAGCAAACAGGAUUAGAUACCCUGGUAGUCCACGCCGUAAACGAUGAGUACUAAGUGUCGGGUUAAACCGGUACUGAAGUUAACACAUUAAGUACUCCGCCUGAGUAGUACGUACGCAAGUAUGAAACUUAAAGGAAUUGACGGGACUCCGCACAAGCGGUGGAUCAUGUUGUUUAAUUCGAAGAUACCCGAAAAACCUUACCAGGUCUUGACAUGUUUUUGCAAAAUGAUAGUAAUAUCGUGGAGGUUACCAGAAACACAGGUGGUGCAUGGUUGUCGUCAGCUCGUGUCGUGAGAUGUUAGGUUAAGUCCUAAAACGAGCGAAACCCUUAUCGUUAGUUGCCAGCACGUUAUGGUGGGGACUUUAACGAGACUGCCAAUGAUAAAUUGGAGGAAGGUGAGGAUCACGUCAAAUCAGCAUGCCCCUUAUGACCUGGGCUACAAACGUGAUACAAUGGCUGUUACAAAGGGUAGCUGAAACGCAAGUUCUUGGCCAAUCCCCAAAAACAGUCCCAGUCCGGAUUGAGGUCUGCAACUCGACUUCAUGAAGUUGGAAUCGCUAGUAAUCGCGAAUCAGCAUGUCGCGGUGAAUACGUUCGCGGGGUUUGUACACACCGC
rnacentral:rRNA from 1 species